GACGAACGCUGGCGGCGUGCCUAAUACAUGCAAGUAGAACGUUGAAGGAGGAGCUUGCUUCUCCGGAUGAGUUGCGAACGGGUGAGUAACGCGUAGGUAACCUGCCUGGUAGCGGGGGAUAACUAUUGGAAACGAUAGCUAAUACCGCAUAACAGUAGAUAUCGCAUGAUAUCUGCUUGAAAGGUGCAAUUGCAUCACUACCAGAUGGACCUGCGUUGUAUUAGCUAGUUGGUGAGGUAACGGCUCACCAAGGCGACGAUACAUAGCCGACCUGAGAGGGUGAUCGGCCACACUGGGACUGAGACACGGCCCAGACUCCUACGGGAGGCAGCAGUAGGGAAUCUUCGGCAAUGGACGGAAGUCUGACCGAGCAACGCCGCGUGAGUGAAGAAGGUUUUCGGAUCGUAAAGCUCUGUUGUAAGAGAAGAACGAGUGUGAGAGUGGAAAGUUCACACUGUGACGGUAUCUUACCAGAAAGGGACGGCUAACUACGUG
rnacentral:rRNA from 1 species